rnacentral:lncRNA from 1 species
GCAGGUUCCGUAUGUUAACUCAUGCAAAGGAUGGUAUGGUUUGAUUCCAACGAACCUAUCAUCACGGUUGUUUGCCCACAUUUAUGAUAUGUGCGCAUGACUCCACAUCACGAGUAUCCGAAGGGUUAUAUGGUCCAAUUCAAAGGGGACCUAUUUUCACGGUUGUUGCGCUGUCCAUGCAGCGUUAAACGCAUGGGUGCCAUUUCUACAGCGAACGGUAAUGAUUGGGGA